rnacentral:tRNA from 2 species
GCCGCUGUGGUGGAAUUGGUAGACACGUUGGACUUAAAAUCCAAUGGGUAUUAAAAUGCCCGUAUCGGUUCGAGUCCGAUCAGCGGUA